rnacentral:lncRNA from 1 species
GUGUCAACUGGAAAUCCAUACUGCUGAAUUUGAUAUUUAAUGCUAUGUAUUAGAAGUGCUUUCUGAAGCUGUAAACAAAAUGCAGUGGGAAAAUACAAUUGCUCUGUUUCCAUUAUCAAGAUUUUUCUGAGGAAUUUUUCAAGAACAAGUAACAUUGAAGAUAACAUCAGAAGAGCCUUUGUGCCUUUUUUUAAAACAUUAGGAUUCCUCAUGGAUGCCUGAACAAAAGAAGUAAAGCAUUUAAAAG